rnacentral:rRNA from 1 species
UUCGCAAGAGACCAAGUAAAGUGGCGGACGGGUGAGUAAUGCAUAGAUAACUUGCCCCUGAGAUGGGAAUAACGCUUCGAAAGGAGUGCUAAUACCCAAUGCCGUCUCGGCGCGUUGGCGCUGAGAUGAAAGGAGGCCUCUGAUUCAAGCUUCCGCUCAGGGAGAGGUUUAUGUCCUAUUAGCUAGUUGGUGAGGUAAUGGCUCACCAAGGCUGCGAUGGGUAGCCGACCUGAGAGGGUGACCGGCCACACUGGGACCGAGACACUGCCCAGACUCCUACGGGAGGCUGCAGUCGAGGAUCUUCCGCAAUGGGCGCAAGCCUGACGGAGCGACGCCGCGUGGGUGAUGAAGGCCUUCGGGUUGUAAAACCCUGUUAGCUACAGUGAAACGCAGGUGGUGAACAGCCAUCCUGCCUGACGUAAGUAGCAAAGAAAGCACCGGCUAACUACGUGCCAGCAGCCGCGGUAAUACGUAGGGUGCGAACGUUGUUCGGAAUCACUGGGCAUAAAGAGCGCGUAGGCGGUCUAAUAAGUCCUUUGUGAAAGCCCCCGGCUUAACCGGGGAAUUGCAUUGGAUACUGUUGGACUAGAGUACAGGAGGGGAGAGCGGAAUUCCUGGUGGAGCGGUGAAAUGCGUAGAUAUCAGGAGGAACGCCGGCGGCGAAAGCGGCUCUCUGGUCUGUCACUGACGCUG